rnacentral:lncRNA from 1 species
UAAAAGAAGUCACAUUAAGUUCAUUCACACACAUUUCAAUUCAUUCUCUCAAAUGAGUGUCAUCAAUAUAUUUUUCACCAUGGCAAGCUCAAAGAUUCAAUUCAAAAAGCAAUUCCCAAACAUGAAUAUAUCUCAUUGCAAUUGAUUCAACCUAGGUUUAAAGAGUCAUUACAUCAAUGGGGUCAUGGAAAGAAAGCUCAUCCAACAUAGUUCAUCAAUUUGAGUAAAGCAAUCAAAAAGAAGAAGACCGUGGUUGAUCAAACACAAACUGAAAGGAAAACUGAAAAGAAAACGCAAACUAAAAGAAAAAAAAAAACUGAAAGGAAAAUGCAAACUGAAAGGAAAAAUGUGUCUAAAGCAAAAAAUUAAAAAUUUCAGAGAUCCGCACCCCCACACCUAAAUCAUGCAUUGUCCUCAAUGUAUAGAAAACAUAAAAGAACAAAGGAAACUGAGUACUCCCCUGGUGUGGUGUUGUAUGGUG